rnacentral:rRNA from 1 species
UACGUAGGGUGCAGGCGUUAAUCGGAAUUACUGGGCGUAAAGCGUGCGCAGGCGGUUUGCUAAGACAGGUGUGAAAUCCCCGGGCUUAACCUGGGAACUGCGCUUGUUACUGGCAAGCUGGAGUGUGGCAGAGGGGGGUGGAAUUCCACGUGUAGCAGUGAAAUGCGUAGAGAUGUGGAGGAAUACCGAUGGCGAAGGCAGCCCCCUGGGAUAACACUGACGCUCAUGCACGAAAGCGUGGGGAGCAAACAGG